ACGUAGGGACAGAGCCGACCGACGUGGAGACGGUUACUAUCGCUACUGAAGAGGUGGUACCCAGUUCACAGUUUCUAAGUCAGAGUGAUGAUGGGGAGAGUGUGGAGCAGCUACAGGCCAGUGACUUGGGCCCUAACUUUGGCCUUGUGCAUGAUACCCAGGUAACACACACACACACAGUUCACACCAAGUAACAGAAAAACUAGCACUUAAAAACGCUUUUUUAAAGGUAUCCGGCUUCUAAGAUGUUUCGUUUUCGUAUUAUUAACGCUUUCGUGUUACAUGUUAGAAUUUGCAUGAUGGUAACUACCUCCCAAAUAACGAACACACACACACACACACACACACACACUUGUUGUUCCCGCCCACUCACACAGGAGGUCCACACGCUAACUAGCGAUGAUGGUUUGCCCUCUGACAUGACCUCUGAGGAUGGCUCCACCCUCAACGCUAUAGGCCACGCCCUCAUCCAGAUGCAGCAAGGUGGACAGACCACCCCCUCAUCUCAGUUCCUCAUCACUAGGAGCACCUCAUCUGGUUCAGAGUCUGGGCAAAAAUUAAUGGUGAAUAAAGAAGACCAAAUUUAUCAGUGUGACGAUUGCUUUUUUGCCAAAUCCAAAAGUUAUAAUCCUCGAUAAGUUAUCCAAGUGCUUGUACAUACUAAUUACAUGUAGAACCAUGAGUAUUAUUGCUAAUGUUUGAUAUAAAAUAAUUAUAAAAUAAGGUUUCUUGGAAGUGGUGUUGAAAAAUAGUCAGUUUUUACUAUGUUGUUGUGUGUGUUGAGGUCCUCUGUAUGUGAUGAUCCCACCAUCCAGUAGUGCUGAGAUACUGCAUGCAAUGGGUCGACCUAUAGCACCCAAGAUGAGCGGGAUAUCAACUAUGGAUUAUCACACGGCCGACCCCAUCGUUCAAAUGCAGUUGUGAGUACACAGUUCAUGUGAUUGCCUACCUCUGCAUAACAUGUAUGACAGUAUGUUAGGAAAAGCAUCAUUCUUGCUACAUACACAGGGUUCUACCUACAGUGGUCGUUUAGGUAAGCUGCGACCACCACUAGAUAUUUUCCGACCACCACUUAGCCUUUCCGACCACUGCUUUACAUUCUACAAGUGCUGGCUAGUCCAGUUUAGCUGCUAGUCUUCGCUUACCAGUUUUACUGUCUUGAUGUGCCUUAUAUAGAGCUAACUAUUAAUUGAACUCUACUUCAUGACCAGAACAAUUAAUUGAAUUAAUUGAAGCUGCAGCAUGGCUUUGUUGAGUUCGAGGAGUACUGCAGCUAGCUAGCAGCUAUACUCUGCCUUAAAACAGGGAGUUGGACCACCUGCUAAGGAAAAGACAAGCUAGAGAGUGAGCAACUGGGUGCAGUUAACACUUCCAAGUAAUGAUUAUGACCCGGCCUGCGAUGAAGAAAUCUUAGUAUAGCGCCAUACUGUACUGAUGCAAGUACAACAAUGUACAUAUAUAAUUAUUUCAGCUACAGUACCCAUCAAUAAAAAAUUCCCGUUCCGUUUGCGUAAAACGCACAAUUCCGGUUUAAACGCAUAAAAAAAAAACGCAUAAUGAACGCAUUGUAUUAUGCAAAACGCUACCGUUUUCACGCAUGUGCAGAAAAAUUGCUGAGUAAGCAGAUUCGUUAACUUGUGAUCGUGCAGUGCAGUGUAGCAGUAGCUAGCUAGCUAGCUUGUGUACUACAGUAUAGCUGAUUGUCUAGCGCUUUAAUCCUCUUAGUUAGCUUAUAGAUGCUAUUUUGCAACAGUGGACCGUUUCCCCAGUUGUUCUCGGUCUCACAUCAGCCCCAAGACUAAGUUGCCCUCCAUGCAAGUUAUUUGUGACCUGGAAUGACCGUUUUUGAAGACCAUCGUCUCUUCUCCAGUAUGUCUGACUGCGUACUUUAUAAUAACUAGCUAGCUAGCUAGCUCAUUGUACUACAAAUCAUACAGUAUCAUUGUCAGGGUUCUAUCUAGAAGAAAUAUUUUGUGGGGGGAAGCCUAAGGGGGGUCCAGGGGUCCUCCCCCGGAAAAUUUUUUAUUCUAGAUGGCCAGAGACGCAAUUUGAGCCAAAUAAGGUGGAAGGUUUGGGGGGGAAGCUUCCCCCUGCCCCCCCCCCCCCACUAGAUAGAACCCUGAUUGUGUAAGUAAUUUCAAUUUUUCAUGAUGACGUCACCAUUUUAAUUUAUAAUGAGAAAUUGGUCGCGUUGUGCAUCCAGUUUAACGCUACCGUUUAUACGUGCGUUUUUAGAAACGGAACGGAAACUUUUUAUUGAUGUAUACUGUAUAUACUUACAUGGCUUACAACACAUGCUUGUUCAAAUUUGUGUCUCCCUUCUCGUACACACCCCCCUGCAUGGGCAAAUUGUCCCCCAUCAUUUUUAACCACCUCUCAAAAUUCCUGGGCAGAACCCUGCAUACCGUAUUACUAGAAUACUUUGCUGUUGGUGAAAAACCUUUGCGAAUCAGCCAAAUCGGCAACCCUUUGCGAUCUAACUAUUGCGUUCUGGCAAGGAUCGUGUGUAUUUACCCAAAAUUAGGUUUUGCAAUUUUAUUGUUUAAAAAUUCGCAUAUGCUCGUAAAACAUUCUAGUAAUACGGUAACUGUGAGGAGUGUUGUUAUUAUGGUGGUUGGUUUGCAGGUCUGGGGAUAUGGCGGCCAACAGGGAAGCUCAGAGGAAGGCUACACACAAUGAAGUUGAGCGUCGGCGUCGGGACAGGAUCAACGAGCUCAUCAAGAUACUGGCUCAGAUAGUGCCUGCUUGUCAGAAGAAAGACGCAACUAUACUGGUUCCAUUGUCGGGUAUGUGUACAGCAAGGGAACGGUACUGGACAAGACAGUGGACUACUUGAAAAAGCUCGUAUUUCAAUCCUCUCAACAAUAGUGUAUAGUAUAUUAUAAUAUAAUAAUAAUAGUAUAUCCUCCAUUGCGAGCACGACCACUUCUCCGUCCACUCCUGUACCGAAAUCCUCCAUGCUGUCACAAGCCAACAACAAUGGCGGGGGUGGUGGUGGUGGUGGUCUCUCUGCCGCGGCUGCUGCUAGUCUGCUCAACACUCUGAUUCUGGCUCAGAAUGUGCUCACAAGCAACUCAAGUGCUGGUAGCCCCGGGCAAGAUUCAAUGUCUAUGGAAACGGUGGACCAAUCCUCUCAACAGUAGUGUACAGUAUAUUAUAAUUGUGGACUGUUUAUACUGUUCUAGUUUUAACGUGUGUUUUUUAGUAAUCUCUCCUUCACUUACUAUAGCUACAUUGUCAGUAUUAUUAUGUAUACAUAGUUUUUAUACAUGAUAUUUGUGUGGAGCUCUUUGAGAAAAAUAUUGUAGCAAAGCCCAUUUAUAUGUAACCACGCCCAUUAUAAUUAUGUGCAGCCUAGCCUCCAUCUCAAGCCGCACUUCCUCGAAAGUUGGCCUGGUAAGACACUGCUUGUGCAUUGCUAACCAUUAGCUGGCAUUGAGAAGAACCUUCAUCAAGAACAAGGUACGUGUGUAUAAUGUGUAGUUAUGCAGUGCAAUGAGUCCACUGUGUACUAUUGAAUGUACAGUACAAAGAAUGGGAACCUAGCAUGCUUACUAGUCUGUAUGUACAUGCACUUGUAUACAAGGUAUGCUUCAAUGUAUGCAGUUUAGGUGUGUACAGGGAAACGUGUGUCAAUUGAGAACACUAGCUCACAAUAUUUGUACAUGACAUUGUACAGUACGUGUACCAGACCCUUCAUCACACUACCAAUUUGAAUGUGUCCAUGUGUUGUUUAUCCUGGCUACAGGACACUGCCGAGGGUAGCACUUCAGUGCUCUAGUUCUAAUUGUAGAUUGACUGAUCGAUUUGUCUUCUGUACUAUUGUUUGAUUUUUCUGCCCCUCAUCUUUUCCGGCCCCCAGUUAUGCGGCCAUUUUUCAGCCCGGCCAAGUGUUGAGGAGACAAGAAGAGGCACUGAGAAUGGAGGUAGAGGCGUACUAUGCUGCUAAGAAGGCCACUCAGUGUGACUAUGACCGUGUGACUCUUUAACCCCUCAGUUCCAUUAGGAUAACUGGGGGCCGGAAAAGAUAAGCCUACUAUGCUGCUAAGAAAGAGAGGGGCCUCACGUAAACUGGCCACUCAGUGUGACUAUGAUCAUGUGAAUCUUUAACCCCUCAGUUCCCGAGCCCCACCCCUCACUGUCUGACUCGGAAGAGGAGAUAGACUUUGUAUUCUGUGAGAAGGCGUCCACCCUACCCUCGGACAAGACCCCAACCAAGGACCUGAACUUGUUAUGAGACUGUUAAAUAUUAUUUUGUCUGUUUUUGUACUAUUUUCUGGCAAUGUAAUUAUGUAUGUACCACUUCAUGUCAUCAUAAUAACUAUAAUUAUAUGCGAUAAAAUUCUGUUGCAACUUAAUUGUCUCAACAUAAUAAAAAGAAUAUCAAUAUCAUUAUAAACUCA